rnacentral:rRNA from 1 species
ACCUGCGUUCACAACGCCGUCAGACACUUCGGUCUCUAUCCGCUGUGGGCGUCGGACGUGUGAGCGGAGCUCGCCCUAGUACGAGAGGACCGGGGCGGACGCACCGCUGGUGUAUCAGUUGUUCUACCAAGAGCAUUGCUGAGUAGCUAUCGUGCGGAAUAGAUAAGCGCUGAAAGCAUAUUAAGCGCGAAACUAGCCUCAAGAUUAGAUUUCCCCAUGGAGGCCCCAGAAAGACUAUCUGGUUGAUAGGCGCAAGAUGGAAGUGCAGUAAUGCAUGUAGUCGAAGCGUACUAAUAGGCCCAUUGACUUUUUACG